AAACACCGACAUAUUAACUUUAGAAGAAUUGAAUGAAAUAUUGUUAUUUUAUUGUUUUCUUUCUUAGGUUUAAUACGCAAUUGUUCUUUAAUUGCGCUUACUGCGAGCCAACACCUGCUCAAAUAGUGGACGAUUUGCUGCGAGCACUGCGCAGACAUUGCCAUCGCCAUCAUGGCGCCCGGCGUGUUUGGAGUUCGGAUAGAUCAGACUCUUCGUUGGCCUCGUUUUUAGGUGUUUGAUCCGUGACGUUUCGUCGAAAAAUCACAAGCGCGCAUGCCGUAGGUGUUUGCCUGGUUGCAAGAUCUUGCCGAUUUCAACGUUUUUCCACCUCUUCGGUUGGCGUACGCUGAACUGGACCCUCGCAGCAAGAAUGGCACGUGGGAAUUGACACCGCGAUUGUGGAACACAUGGCUGAUCUGCCUCGAAUAACUGCAAGCCGGCGCGUGCGUAGUGCCGUGGAGAACGAUCAGAAAUCCAGGACGACAAAGAAAAAAACUUCAAAGCUGCCUCUGCGAACCCCGCUCCUGGACAACAGCUGGGAGGCUCUGUGUUUAAACGCGUGCACCUUGGACGUCAUGCUCCUGCCUCUGCGAGCCCUGCUGUUGGACGCCAGCUGGAAUGCUCUGCGUUUGAAAGCGUGCACCCCAGAUGUCAUGCUCAUAAAUACAGAGUUCUCAUGAUUCUAGUGUUGACAAAGCAAUAAGUAAAAGCAGGCACUUGUGCAUCUGGAAUGAGGUUUAACCCUGUCUCAGGAGACAUAAGACAAUAUAGUCAUGCUAUGUUCCUGUUGUUCACCAUUUUCAUGCAUGUUGUGUGCAGUACGUAUACAUACAUGCAGGCUUUGUUUUUGUUGUCCUCAGCUGCCUCUGCAAGCCCUUUUGCUGGACGCCAUGGAAGGCCCUCCACUCGAAAGUGUGCACCUUAGACUACACGCUCAUCAAUACCAAGUUCUCUGUCCUUCUCGGCAUGAUUGUAGUGCCAUAUAAUAGUGAGGCAAUAAAUCAUUUUUGCUGGUCA